UUGAAUAAUAUCAAGUAUAUGUUUUUCUUAAUCCGGUGGAUUAACCUAAUUUGUUAGGAUAUUAAUACAAAUGCACAAUAUUAGCAAGUUACAAUCGUCUUUUACCUUUUGCUAUUUAUAAAUAAGAAUCUAAAUAUUCUUGAUGUAUUUCACUUGUGCAAUAAUCACAGUGGAUAGUAGUUGGAGAGCUUUGCAAUUUUAAAUUGAAGAUUUGAUUAUACGUUUUUUCAUGUUAAUUUCUUUAUGGUUUGAAGGUGGACCUAAUAAUUACUCAUUAUUGUAUGUCUGAAAUGGUUGGUUAAGAGUUGCUCAAAAAGAUUAUGGAACUCUUACUUUUUUAUAUUUUUAAGCUUUACUGAUUCAUGAUUUUUUGUUCCUGAUUAUUUCCCAAAUCUGCUUUGUGUGAACAGGGCUCAUCGUCUGGAGAAAUAUCAUUUAUUUUUAUAUCAUCCUGGUGCAAAUUGACAGAUGUUAAAAGACAAUUGCAUAUGCAUGGGGGCAAAGGGAAACAAAGUGCUGGAUACAUGUUUCAUGGAGAACAGAACACUGCUCGUCGGUGCAAAGGCAAACAAAGUGCUGGAUACAUGUUUCAUGGAGAACAGAACACUGCUCGUCGGUGUAACACAACUUCUUUUCUCGCAAGGACUUCUUCUUUUCUUUUGGAAGAUGUUUAAAUUGUUCCUCAUCAAAUUGAUGUACCUUUAUGUGGAUUGGAUGUAAAAAAUUUAUUAUGUUUCAAGUAAAAAUAAUUUC